rnacentral:tRNA from 1 species
GCCGGUGUGGCGGAAUUGGCAGACGCGCGCGACUCAAAAUCGUGUGGGAAACCAUGGGGGUUCGAGUCCCUUCACCGGCACCA